GACGAACGCUGGCGGCGUGCCUAAUACAUGCAAGUAGAACGCAGUUGCGAACGGGUGAGUAACGCGUAGGUAACUGCCUCAUAGCGGGGGAUAACUAUUGGAAACGAUAGCUAAUACCGCAUACUGUGAGAUGGACCUGCGUUGGAUUAGCUAGUUGGUGAGGGAAAGGCUUACCAAGGCGACGAUACAUAGCCGACCUGAGAGGGUGGUCGGGCAAAAUGGGAAUGGGAACAGGGUCAGACUCCUACGGGGGGGAGCAGGAGGGAAUCGUCGGCAAUGGAGCGAAGUCGUGCCGAGCAACGCCGGGGUGGUGAAGAAGGGUUUCGGAUCGUAAAGCUCUGUUGAUAGAGAAGCGGUACCUAACCAGAAAGGGACGGCUAACUACGUGCCAGCCGCCGCGGUAAUUC
rnacentral:rRNA from 1 species